UUUAUUGAGAGUUUGAUCCUGGCUCAGGAUGAACGCUGGCGGCGUGGAUAAGGCAUGCAAGUCAAACGGUCCCGCACCUUUUAGCAAUAAAAGGUGCGGGAUAGUGGCAGACGGGGUAGUAACACGUAGGAACUCACCCCAGAGACGGGCACAACCCCGCGAAAGCGGGGCUAAUUCCCGAUAGUUCCCGAAAGGGUAAAGGCAGCAAUGCGCUCUGGGAGAGGCCUGCGGGCUAUCAGCUUGUUGGCGGGGUAACGGCCCACCAAGGCGACGACGGCUAGGGGGAGUGAGAGCUUGGCCCCCACCAAUGGAACUGCGACACGGUCCAUACACCUACGGGUGGCAGCAGCCGAG
rfam:Candidatus Giovannonibacteria bacterium RIFCSPLOWO2_01_FTLL_46_32 rifcsplowo2_01_scaffold_3608, whole genome shotgun sequence.